AAAAACAAGUGAGAUAAAGGGCGAGGCACAUACGUGACUGUGAAGUGAAUUGAAGAGAAAAGUAGCUCAAGCUUUGCAGGAGGUCCACAGAGAGCAAGCCAUGACGAGCAGUGAUUUAGAGAUUUUACAACAGCUUCCUAAGGUUUAUGCACAGUGAAUCAUAAUACUGGCAACUGUCUCCUGGUACGUAAGGUCAACAGAGAAUGAAAAGGUUUUUUCAUUAUUACAAAUUUUGGAGUU
rnacentral:lncRNA from 1 species